CGGGGUGGAGUAAUGUCUGGGAAACUGCCUGAUGGAGGGGGAUAACUGCUGGAAACGGUAGCUAUACCGCAUAACGUCGCAAGACCAAAGAGGGGGACCUUCGGGCCUCUUGCCAUCGGAUGUGCCCAGAUGGGAUUAGCUAGUAGGUGGGGUAACGGCUCACCUAGGCGACGAUCCCUAGCUGGUCUGAGAGGAUGGCCAGCCACACUGGAACUGAGACACGGUCCAG
rnacentral:rRNA from 1 species